AGUCACUGACAUUAGAUACCCGCGUAGUCCAGGGUGUAAACGCUGCAGACUUGGUGUUGGGAACCCUUCGGGGGUGCUCAGUGCCGGAGAGAAGUUGUUAAGUCUGCUACUUGGGGAGUACGUCCGCAAGGAUGAAACUUAAAGGAAUUGGCGGGGAGCACCGCAACGGGAGGAGCGUGCGGUUUAAUUGGAUUCAACGCCGAAAAACUCACCAGCAGCGACUGUUACAUGAAGGCCGAGAUGAAGACUCUGCUAGAUUUUCAG
rnacentral:rRNA from 1 species